CUUGGAUUUGUUGCCUGCUAAUUGGAGGGAUAACGUGUUUUACCCUUCAAGGUGCGUUUGGUUUCCACUAAUUCAGCUCAAAUCAGUCUAGUUCCAAUAGUAUAAGGCUAGCCUUUUACAUAAUGUUUUUCUUUGUUUCCUAGAUAAUGCUUAUGGGCAUCCUGCCUACACUGAACCAGAAUCAACUGGAUCCCAAGCAAGUGUGGUGUCUGGUCCAAAUGCUAAAGCUAAUGGCCGCAAUACCCCAGCUAGUGUGACGUUGUGUCGAAAUGCCUCAGCAGAAGCGGCCGGCCCCCGCGCCUCAGCAGAAGCUACUGGCAAAAAUACCCCAGCAAGUGUGACGUUGUGUCGCAAUGCCUCAGCAGAAGCGACCGGCCCCCGCGCCUCAACAAAAGCGACCGGCCCCCGCGCCUCAGCAGAAGCGACCGGCCCCCGCGCCUCAGCAGAAGCGACCGGCCCCCGCGCCUCAGCAGAAGCGACCGGCCCCCGCGCCUCAGCAGAAGCGACCGGCCCCCGCGCCUCAGCAGAAGCGACCGGCCCCGCGCCUCAGCAGAAGCGACCGGCCCCGCGCCUCAGCAGCGAG
rnacentral:lncRNA from 1 species